AUCCUUGCCGGCUGGAAGGGUUUCCUUCCAGUCGACGAGGUACACGUACCUCGUCAACUGGAGGGUUUCCCCUCCAGUCGGCAAGGUACAU
rnacentral:miRNA from 1 species